CACGUAGUUAGCCGGCGCUUCUUCUGCAGGUACCGUCACUUUCGCUUCUUCCCUGCUGAAAGGGGUUUACAACCCGAAGGCCUUCAUCCCCCACGCGGCGUCGCUGCAUCAGGCUUGCGCCCAUUGUGCAAUAUUCCCCACUGCUGCCUCCCGUAGGAGUCUGGGCCGUGUCUCAGUCCCAGUGUGGCCGGUCGCCCUCUCAGGCCGGCUACCCGUCGUCGCCUUGGUGAGCCGUUACCUCACCAACUAGCUGAUAGGCCGCGAGCCCAUCCCUGACCGAUAAAUCUUUCCAGACGCUACAGAUGCCCGUGCGUCUCGUAUCCGGUAUUAGCUCCGAUUUCUCGAAGUUAUCCCAGAGUCAGGGGCAGGUUGCUCACGUGUUACUCACCCGUUCGCCACUGAUCAGGAGGAGCAAGCUCCUCCGUCACCGUUCGACUUGCAUGUGUUAAGCACGCCGCCAGCGUUCGUCCUGAGCCAGGAUCAAACUCU
rnacentral:rRNA from 1 species